UGUUUUUUCUUAUCUCUCAUCUUUCAAAUUCGGCGAUUUGAUCUUCAUGAAAUUGAAAUCUUCUCAAUUUAAAUUGUUUUUUCACACAAUUGUUGCAUUAAAGAACAAAAAAUAGCUGCAUUGAUUUUUGAUUCGUUCUAUUGAAGACGAGAGGAAGAAUAUUACGUUAUUUGAGAGAAAAUUAUUUAGUUGAUUAGUUUUUUCAGAUCUGACCAGAAGUAUACGUAUUGAAGAAAAACAAACAGCUGGUAUUUGUUGAUUCUUAGAAGAGGAAGAAGAUAGGUUUGAAAAUACAGUAAUCAAUAUAGGUUUGUUUUCGUUCUUAUUUAUGAAGGAUUUUGUUUCGAUUUUUAUGAUUUGGAUCUUAUUGAUUCGAUAUUUAUAUAUUAGUUUUCACUUUUGUAUUUCGAUUUAUUGAUGCUGAGAACAAGAAGAAGAGAUAACAUUGUUUCAGCUGAAGAAAACAACAAAUCUAUGUUGUCAUGGUUGUUGUUAGUUCCAUUGUUGUUGUUCGCUACUUUUCAGAUUUGAUUACCACUCGUGUUAAUAUUGAAACCACACUUGAUGAUUUUAAAGACGAAGUUUGCAAGCAAUGGAAGCAAUUUACUCCACUUUAUAUUUGUUUCUUGUUCCGAGAAGGUGGGAAAGAUCUUUCGGUUGACUGUGAUUAUUCUAUUCAAGUUGUUGCUUCCCCCACAGAUAGUAAAAAAAAAACAAUUUUUGAUAUAUUUUUGCGAAAUGUCACUCAUGUAGCCUCCUCAUCUAGAUCUAGGGCAAUUUCUUCUAUUUCUAAUGGUUCUAGUACAUCUUCGAGAAACAAUUUCUCAGUUGGAAUGUAUCUGGAAGAUAGGAGCAAGCCUGCAAAACCCUUGUUGUCGGAUGGUUGGCCUAAGGUCCUUGGUGAGAUUGGUCAUGUGUUUGUUGAAGGGGUUAAUUAAGGAGGUCGGGUUGCUUACACCAAUUACCAUCUUGGCACUGGUUUCAACAUGGUUGUAACACACAAUGAGCAUUCUAGGUUCAUGGCUAAGUGCAGUAAAAGAAUGCGACUGGAAAUUUCGUGCAGAAGUAUUGAUAAAAGGAACGAAAUGUUUCAGGUCAGAGCUUAUAAUCGUGAGCAUACUUGUGGUGCUGGUGGGCGCAAUUUGAAUAAAAAAAUACUCAACCAACUUCACGUCUAGUUUGAUUGAGGAAAAAUUUCGUAAAAAACCUCACAAGAAGCCAAGGCAAAUUGUUGAUGAUUUCCAGACCAACUAUGGAAUUACCAUGGAGUGGCUUAUAAUGGUAGGGAGAAGGUUUAUGAGUCAAUACGAUGUGAAGUCUUACUCAAACUUGGAAUGAUAUAUUAAUGCUAUAAGGGAAACUAACCCAGGUAGUGUGAUAGACUUUCAAUUUGACCCUGUAAAGAAACAGUUCAGACGGAUUUUCAUCUCGUUUUCUGCAUGCAUCAAAGGGUACCGGUUUUGUCGUCCAAUAGUCUAUUUGGAUGCUACUUUCCUUACUGGUAGAUUCAGAGGUUGCUUGAUAGCAUAUACUGGGAUCAAUGGUAAUAAAGGAUUUUUUUCCUUGCUGUGGCACUAGUCGAUCCUGAGAAUAACGAAAACUGGGAGUGGUUUUUAAGAAAUCCGACCCAUGUUGUUGGCGAGGGAGGCCAAUCACCUUCCAUUAGGAUCGCCAUGAAGGAUUCUUGCGUGGUGUUCCACUUUUCUAUCCAGACUCAUUCUAUAGCUUCUGUUACUAUCAUUUGAAGACUAUUCUUCCCAUCAAUGGAUCAAAUCCUAGGUAUUGGGUGGCUGAUUAGAUAGAAACCACCCCACCUGAAUCAUAUGCGAAUGCGUUUUUCCAAGGUUGUCGGUAUAGACGCACAUCUAGUAUUCUAUUAGAAUCAUUAAAAAGUUGGAUUAAGGUUCUUGAUCAAUUAGGCCUAUAGGUUUUAUUACCUUUACAAAAUCCUUAAUUGCAUUCAAAUAUUACCUUAAUUUUCCUGUACACAUCACACACAAAAAUAACAUGAGUUAGUAUGUUAUGUACUUAUCAAAUACACUCCUUUUUAACUGCAAAAUCAAAAUCAUGUUACAAACAAUGUGUAUUUUCCAAGUAUACAAACUGAAUCAUUCUAUUAUAUGUUGUGUAACCUUAACUUACACAUGCAUAUGAAGGUUUAAAUUUAAUUUAUAGACGUCAUUUUUGAUGUGUAACUAUUAUUUAAACACAAUACAGUCGUAGGUGAUAUUUUGCAUGUGUAAAUUUUAGUUACAUAGGCAAUUGGAAAGUUAGUGGUGAGAUUUUGAAUGUGUAACUUGAUAAGCACGUAAGUGCGACGCUUUUUCACCCAUAAUUAAAUUAGCUAGGACUCAUUUUAUUGCUAAUAAACUUGUUUUAAGUAUUUUGAAGGAAAUAAAGCUCGAUCGACUAAAACACGGAAAUCUGCGGGAAAAAUGGAGGAAAUGAAGUGAUUUAUGAUUAAAUGGGCUAAGGCCGAAAGCAAUUACAUGGAGAAUCAUUUUAUUAAGUCCAAUUAUGUGGAUAUGGGAGUGUGAUAAGAAUUCCACUGAGUGUAUAGAAGUGUGGAAACCAUGUGAAAGAUAUUAAUUAUGAUACAGGAUAUCUGAAGAUAUUUUGUUUAAUGAAGAAAAUAUUUCCUUAUGAUGUGGAGUAAUGGAAUAUUUGAAGAUCUGGAAAAGAAUAUUAUUAUUUAUGGUUGAAAAUAAUAAUUAAGAUAUUGAUUGCAGUAUUUAACACAUGGCGCAAUCUGAUUGGAAAACUUUUGUAUUAUUUGACACGUGGCAUACUUUUAUUGGAUGAUGAUGUGGUAGUGGAUAUGAUAAAGGAAAGUGGUUUCCUUUAAAAACUAUAAAUACUGGUUGAAGCAGAUGGAAUA